GGUAAAUUCCUCCAGCAGGCUAUAUUCGGUUUGCUGCUGACGUGCAUGGGUAAAUAGACACUAUGAAGAAAAGGAAAAGGCACAGAGACAUCAGGCACUUUUUUGGAGCUAAAAGAGAAAGGGGUGCCCAGCAGACGGGAGAGGCACAAUGAUGAAAGCUGUGAGCAGGCCGCAGGGAGACGACACUAUGAGGUUCUUCAUCUACAGUGGAUGUGGAAUAUGUGGAGUGGAGUUUAUGUGGAUGUGGAG